AUUGAACGCUGGCGGCAGGCCUAACACAUGCAAGUCGAACGAGUGGCGGACGGGUGAGUAAUGUCUGGGAAACUGCCCGAUGGAGGGGGAUAACUACUGGAAACGGUAGCUAAUACCGCAUACCAUCGGAUGUGCCCAGAUGGGAUUAGCUAGUAGGUGGGGUAACGGCUCACCUAGGCGACGAUCCCUAGCUGGUCUGAGAGGAUGACACACCCCACCGGAACUUGGACACCGUCCCAAAUGCUAAGGGAGGCAGUAGUGGGGAACAUUGCACAAGGGGGGGAAGCCUGAUGCAGCCAAGGCGGGGGGAUGAAGGAGGCCUUCGGGUUUGAAAAGACUUUCAGGGAGGAGGAGUUAAUCGCAGAAGAAGCAACGGCUAAAUCCGUGCCAGCAGCCGCGGUAAUAC
rnacentral:rRNA from 1 species